CUUGGUGUGUGUCUGCAUGNNNGGUCCCUGUUUCGGCAGCGAAAGCAUUUCACACACACCUUUUCAAUUGUUGGUUCAAGUGUGUCUUUGGCUUGGACUCAUGGGUUUCUUGUGCUGCAUACCUCUAAUAAGGUACUUGAUCGGCCUAAACGCGCCAUAUUCUUGCAUGCACUAUAUACCCUUUGUGGUUGUAGUGUGAGUUAGACAACGAAGGAUUCAUAGUGUUCCACUACCCAGGCGCCUUGACCGUGCCUUUGGGUUCGUGGCACAUUAUGGAUUGCCUGAUCUCUCGGAUACAGAAAAAUGAAUGGGUACGGGGCACAUCGUUGCUUCUAUUUGCCCUAGAAAUUAAGCGUUCGAAGCUUCUUACGGACGACGGUUGUUCAUGUUUUGGUUGGGUCCAUUGUGGCUUGAAUCAUGCGUCAACAACGUCGGUGAGGAA
rnacentral:misc_RNA from 1 species